rnacentral:tRNA from 2 species
UUCCUCAGUAGCUCAGUGGUAGAGCGAUCGGCUGUUAACCGAUUGGUCGUAGGUUCAAAUCCUUCCUGAGGAGA